UCAUAAUCGGAAUCCUGAGCUCCGUUAUCUAGAGCAAAGGGCGAUGCAGAGGAACUGUCCAGAAUAGCUCCGAUGGCUCAGGAGUAGAGUUGCCAAGCCCCUCAAAAUUCCAGGUUUCACCCGGAUUUUAAGCAUCUCACCCAGAUUGCUUAGCCCACCCAAAUUUGCCUGGAUUUCAGCUUUCUUUCCCCCCCUUUUUUAAAAAAGCGAAGCUCUAGCCCUUGCAGAAGCGGAGUUAUGGAGCAAAACGUGCAGUCACUAUCCUGCCCAGAAAUUAUUUUCAAGCCAAUUUACAUAAUAUGCAAAUUAGGCACCCAGAUUUGGAAAGCCAGAAAAUGGCAACCCAACUCAGGGAAGGGGCAGACAGGAGACCUGCCGACCAGGUGGGAGGCUGAGGCAUCUGCAGAGGUCCAAGGCCUGGGUAGGGGACUCCCUUCUCUGUGAGCUGUAAACUCGCAUCCCUUUUCCAUGCCUCCCUUGCUCUUUACUCUUUCUUCUAUCAUGCCCAAACUGUGACUGUGUGCUGCCAAGGGAAGAGGUGGCCAUCUUUGGACUGCAGGCAAAAAGGCAAUCACAGUCGGCUUAGGAUACUUCCUCCGUGGGCGAAGAACUUCUCCGAUGAGCGUUGCUGGCUGGGGGCUGGUUGCUGCGCUAGAAUCCUCAGGUCAGUAUGGUCUACACUGACUGGCAGCGGCUUCUCCAAAGUUACAGGCAGGAAUCUAUCCAGCUUAAAAAGAGAACACCCGGACUACUUGAGAGAUGGUGCAAGUUUUCGAAGGUGAUGCGAGGGGAAAUAUAGAAGCCGCCGUUGUCCAUGUUGCGGAUCUUAUAGUGCUUCACCACUUCCCCCUGGUUCUGGUCAAAGUCCCGCACGGAGAGAGAAAAGGAGCCUAGAGAAAGCCACGAGGAGGAGGAAGAAAAGGUCAGAUUGUUUGUUCCCUUCUGAUGAGAGAUUGCAGACCCCUCUAGCUGGAACCUUUCACUCAUUUACCAACACGG